rnacentral:rRNA from 1 species
UACGUAGGGUGCAAGCGUUAAUCGGAAUUACUGGGCGUAAAGCGUGCGCAGGCGGUUCGCUAAGACCGAUGUGAAAUCCCCCGGGCUUAACCUGGGAACUGCAUUGGUGACUGGCGGGCUAGAGUAUGGCAGAGGGGGGGUAGAAUUCCACGUGUAGCAGUGAAAUGCGUAGAGAUGUGGAGGAAUACCGAUGGCGAAGGCAGCCCCCUGGGCCAAUACUGACGCUCAUGCACGAAAGCGUGGGGAGCAAACAGG